UAAAAAUGUCUCUCUGUCCUGCAGGUUCUUUUGCUUCAACUUGACACCAACAGAAGCAAUGGAGGAUGUCAUUAGGUAGGUUUAGUCCAUCAGUGUUCUGAUGACUUCCCAGCAUCCCGAGCGCUCGGUGAUUUCCCUCUAUUGUGUGUUGACUUCCUCAGAGAUGACGGAUGUGUUCCUGAACCUGGAGGCCCGGAGAGGAACGUCCACGAAACAUCGACAUUCCAUCUGUCUGAUGCAGGAUAGACAACGGCCCUCUAGGGGAAUUGUAUCCUCAUAAAAACCUGGGACUCUAAGCCUUGAUGAUAUGUUCUUCGGAGGGGGCGGCAGUAAAGACACACAGCACCUCGAGACAGACCUGACAGACUGGAGCUUCACUAAAGACCCACAUGUCUGUGUUUGCAAACCCCACAGGGGGCCCUCGGGGGUCCGGCGGCAGCGGCACGUCUUCCACUUGUCCACUUCUACUUUACACGGCUGGACUCUUUCAUACUUCUGUGAAUUCCCAUCAAGAAAUGUCAACAGUUACUGACAUGCAAUGUGAAAAACACUAGACAAUAUCUGAUUUUAAAGGACUAUACCAAUGUCAGGGUUCCAACACAGAAAAACUAAAUUGGUGUCUAACUUUUUUUUUU